rnacentral:rRNA from 1 species
GUUGAACGCUGGCGGCGUGCCUAAUACAUGCAAGUCGAGCGAACGGACGAGAAGCUUGCUUUUAUGAUGUUAGCGGCGGACGGGUGAGUAACACGUGGAUAACCUAUCUAUAAGAAUGGGAUAAGUUCGGGAAACCGGAGCUAAUACCGGAUAAUAUUUUGAACCGCAUGGUUCAAAAGUGAAAGAGGGUCUUGCUGUCACUUAUACAUGGAUCCGAGUUGGAUUAGCUAGUUGGUAAGGUAACGGCCUACCAAGGCUACGAUGCAUAGCCGACCUGUGAGGGUGAUCGGCCACACUGGAACUGAGACACGGUCCAGACUCCUACGGGAGGCAGCAGUAGGGAAUCUUCCGCAAUGGGCGAAAGCCUGACGGAGCAACGCCGCGUGUGUGAUGAAGGCCUUCGGAUCGUAAAACUCUGUUAUUUGGGGAGAACAGAUGUGUAAGUAACUGUUCACAUCUUGACGGUACCUAAUCAGAAAGCCACGGCUAACUACGUG